rnacentral:rRNA from 1 species
AUGGCGGGGCCACUGAGCGCGACGCGGCGCACGCGCCCGACGCCGGGGCAGUGCAUCGCGGCGACGCUGUUCGCGCUGCUCGUCGUGGUCGCCAUCAUCGUCAUCAUCUGGCUGGCGGUCCGGCCCGGGAAGCUGCAGCUCUCCGUCGACCACGCGGCGGUCCGCGGCUUCAACUUCACGUCGGGGGGCGCGCUGCAGGGCACCUUCGCCCUCGUCCUCCGCGCCUACAACCCCAACAAGCGCACCGCCGUGUACCGCUCGCUCGACGUCGGCGUGUGGUACGGCGACACGUACCUGGGCGGCGCCGAGGUGCCGGGGUUCCGCCAGCCGCCGCGCAACGAGACGAGGAUCGUGGUGGCGGCCCCCGCGGCGCGGGAGCCGGUGCCGCGGGACGUGGAGCGGGAGAUGAAGAAGGACCGGUCCGCCGGGACGCUGCCGCUGGACGUGCACGUCCGGGGCAAGGUGUGGUUCAAGUACGGCCUGGUGAGGACGCGGCGGUACAAGAUGCGCGCGAGCUGCCCGCUGGUGCCCGUCGACUUCGCCUCGCCCAGCUCCUUCGACCGGGUGUACUGCCACGUGCACAUCUGA